rnacentral:lncRNA from 1 species
AGUCCUUCGCCGUCCCUCGCCGUCCUUCGCCAUCGCACGCCACCGCACCCCAUCUCUCGAAAUCUGCAGACAUCUUGAUUUUUCCCACGCUGUCUGUCAGGUCUCCGCCGCCACUCGACGCCAGGGCGCCGGGCCUUGUGGGCUGUGCUGCACCUCGGACGGCUUCGCACCAGCCAGCGCCCUCUCUCUCCUGCAGCACUCUGAUCUGCACCCCCUGAGGGGCUUCCACUGUCCGCGGGGUGAGAAUGCCCCUGGGAGUGUCACAUGACUGCCGCCCCAUGUGUGUGAGAGGCGUCCUCUGGGAGAGCAUGGAUCCUGAGGUCCCAGGAACAUCCCGAGAGCCAAGUUCCCAGAUGCCAGCCAAGGGCCAUCUGACCUGUUUUGAAUCUCAAUUUCCUGAUACAGAAAACAAAGGAUUGUCAGCUGACCUCUGUCCUGUGUGCCCAGUGGCCCCAGGUGACGUGUCUUCAAGAAGAGGCUGAGCUGCGGUGCUUGUAAGAGUCAUGUGCUGUUCCUGGGGCUUGGAUGAUGUAGGGGAAGCAAGGUGAAAGUGGUAUCCCGUGGUUCCACGUUCUGUCCUGCUGUGGGGCUGUCCCUCACAUGCUUUCAGUGGCUGUUGCAGAGGAAGAGCCUCCGGAAAUCUGCGUGGGUCUCAGCCUUAGAUCCAAGGACAGUCCAAGGAAGUCCUAAGACCAUGGAGUUGGUGAUCUGGGAUCUGGGUUUGCUGAUAUUUCUCACCGUGAAUCUCUUGGUGGUGUUUGUGGGCACGAGAGGGGCAGAGAAUGGAGAGUGAGGCUACCACAUGAAGCGUCACCAGAGCUGCUCCCUGCUGCCUGCUCAGAGCACCCCGGAUCCACUGUUCAAUCUGCACAAGAUUCGGGGUCCAGACAUGGGAGACUUCAGCUGCCUCAGAGGACCGUGGACAGGGAAGGCCAGCCUCGCAUCCCUCUGUCCAUGCCUGGAAUGACUUUAAUAACCAAGAGUUUUAUUUUUGAAUUUGUAGCUGUCGUUCACUUUUUACCCACCCAUUCAAUAAACCUUACAGAAUUGCUCCA